UACGUAGGGGGCAAGCGUUGUCCGGAUUUAUUGGGCGUAAAGAGCGUGUAGGCGGCCACACAGGUCCGCUGUGAAAACUCGAGGCUCAACCUCGAGCUGUCGGUGGAAACCGUGUGGCUAGAGUCCGGAAGAGGAGAGUGGAAUUCCCGGUGUAGCGGUGAAAUGCGCAGAUAUCGGGAAGAACACCCGUGGCUAAGGCGGUUCUCUAGUACGGUACUGACGCUGAGGCGCGAAAGCGUGGGGAGCAAACAGG
rnacentral:rRNA from 1 species